GAUGAACGCUAGCUACAGGCUUAACACAUGCAAGUCGAGGGGCAUCGCGGCGUAGCAAUACGCUGGCGGCGACCGGCGCACGGGUGAGUAACACGUAUCCAACCUGCCUCCAGCCCGGGGAUAGCCUUCCGAAAGGAAGAUUAAUACCCGAUGGCAUCUGCCUUCCGCAUGGUCGGCAGAUUAAAGAUUUAUCAGCUGGAGAUGGGGAUGCGUUCCAUUAGGCAGUCGGCGGGGUAACGCCCACGACCGCGAUGGAUAGGGGUUCUGAGAGGAAGGUCCCCCCA
rnacentral:rRNA from 1 species